AGAAUUCCGUUUGCUGGCGUCGCGUGCGGUGCGCGUCUUUUUUUCGUCUGAUUGGAAUUUGUGCGACGGUAACGAAAAUACGUCUGAAAAAAACGACGCUGGCGAUAUCAAAUUAUCAACAAAAAAAUACAACAAAAUCAUUAUACAGAGAGAAAAUCUGAAGAAGAAGCAAAGUGUCGUGAAAAUUGUGAAAACUAAACAAACCAAAUCGAAAGCGAAAAAAGUCCAAGAAAAACUCGCUUCGAAGUUUUAAAAGCGAAGAGGAAAAAGUAAAAAAAAAAAAGCCACACGCCACUCCAUGAAAAUCAAUAAUUUGGAUUAGUAGCUGUUGUUUAGAGUUCGGGAAAGGAUUCAAAACAAACCUGCCGAAGCCAAAACAAACACAUCAACAGUACAGCUUUAAUAACAAUAAUGAAUUGAAUAAGUUAAGGAACUAAAACAAUUUACAUGAGUACAAACUAAAGGAAUACAAAGGAAAACUUCAUGUAUUACAUAAGAGUUACGUGUAAAGUCCACAAUUAAAGCUGAACAGAACACAAAGUUUAAUUUAAUAAUUAACA